UAGACAUAAUGAUGAUGAUGAUGACGAUGAUAAUGAUGAUCACGACGUAUGAUCAUUAUCAUCAUCAUUGCAAUCAUCAUCUAAC
rnacentral:miRNA from 1 species